rnacentral:rRNA from 1 species
AUUGAACGCUGGCGGCAGGCUUAACACAUGCAAGUCGAGCGGAGAUGAGGUGCUUGCACCUUAUCUUAGCGGCGGACGGGUGAGUAAUGCUUAGGAAUCUGCCUAUUAGUGGGGGACAACAUUCCGAAAGGAAUGCUAGUACCGCAUACGUCCUACGGGAGAAAGCAGGGGAUCUUCGGACCUUGCGCUAAGAGAUGAGCCUAAGGCGGAUUAGCUAGUUGGUGGGGUAAAGGCCUACCAAGGCGACGCUCUGUAGCGGGUCUGAGAGGAUGAUCCGCCACGCUGGGACUGAGACACGGCCCAGACUCCUACGGGAGGCAGCAGUGGGGACUAUUGGACAAUGGGGGGAAGCCUGAUCCAGCCAUGCCGCGUGUGUGAAGAAGGCCUUAUGGUUGUAAGGCACUUUAAGCGAGGAGGAGGCUACUGAGACUAAUACUCUUGGAUAGUGGACGUUACUCGCAGAAUAAGCACCGGCUGACUCUGUGCCAGCAGCCGCCGUAA